GACGAACGCUGGCGGCGUGCUUAACACAUGCAAGUCGAACGGAAAGGCCCUGCUUUUGUGGGGUGCUCGAGUGGCGAACGGGUGAGUAACACGUGUGUAACCUGCCCUUGACUUUGGGAUAACUUCAGGAAACUGGGGCUAAUAUCGGAUAGGAGCUCCUGCUGCAGGGUGGGGGGUGGAAAGUUUCGGCGGUUGUGGAUGGACUCGCGGCUUAUCGGCUGGUUGGUGGGGUGGGGGCUUACCAAGGAUUUGACGGGUAGCCGGCCUGAGAGGGUGACCGGCCACAUGGGGCCUGAGGUACGGCCCAGACGCCUACGGGAGGCAGCAGUGGGGAAUAUUGCACAAUGGGCGGAAGCCUGAUGCAGAGACGCCGCGUGCGGGAUGACGGCCUUCGGGUUGUAAACCGCUUUCGCCUGUGACGAAGCGUGAGUGACGGUAAUGAGUAAAGAAGCACCGGCUAACUACGUG
rnacentral:rRNA from 1 species